rnacentral:rRNA from 1 species
CGCUGGCGGCGUGCCUAACACAUGCAAGUCGAACGGAGUUCCUUCGGGGACUUAGUGGCGAACGGGUGAGUAACGCGUGAAGAACCUGCCUUUCAGUGGGGGACAACAGUUGGAAACGACUGCUAAUACCGCAUAAUGUUAUUUGAGGGCAUCCUCGGAUAACCAAAGAUUUAUUGCUGAAAGAUGGCUUCGCGUCUGAUUAGAUAGUUGGUGGGGUAACGGCCUACCAAGUCGACGAUCAGUAGCCGGACUGAGAGGUUGAACGGCCACAUUGGGACUGAGACACGGCCCAGACUCCUACGGGAGGCAGCAGUGGGGAAUAUUGGGCAAUGGGGGAAACCCUGACCCAGCAACGCCGCGUGAAGGAAGAAGGCCUUCGGGUUGUAAACUUCUUUUACCAGGGACGAAGAACGUGACGGUACCUGGAGAAAAAGCAACGGCUAACUACGUG